UACGGAGGAUCCGAGCGUUAUCCGGAUUUAUUGGGUUUAAAGGGUGCGCAGGCGGGAGAUUAAGUCGGCGGUGAAAUUUUGCAGCUUAACUGUAAAAGUGCCUUCGAAACUGGUUUCCUUGAGUGUAGAUGAAGUAGGCGGAAUUUGUGGUGUAGCGGUGAAAUGCAUAGAUAUCACGAGGAACUCCGAUUGCGCAGGCAGCUUACUAAACCAUAACUGACGCUCAGGCACGAAGGCGUGGGGAUCAAACAGGAUUAGAUACCCCUGUAGUCCCU
rnacentral:rRNA from 1 species